GGUUCGGUGGUGGAUGGUCCACGUCUGUCUCUGAUGACAUGUAUGAGUGGUCAGAUGACUUGAAGCAGAAGAUGCCUGUUCGAAUCAGGUCCGAGCCA